GGGGACCAAUGCUGCAAACUAUAUUUGUCGGUGUGGGGGUCUAUAUGACUGUGCGCUUAGUUCACACAUUAUAUUUUUCGGACGGAUGGAGCCAUGGUAUCUCCCGCUCUCCUUUAGAUUUCCUUGUUUCGUACAACUAACACACACUGGGGCCCUUUCAUUAGGGGUUGCUUAACCCAUAUAGCUUGUGGGUGCCCUUAGUACGGAUAGAGCUACAUAGUCCAAGUUAAUAUUUUAUAAUCUCAUGCUCAUGACCCUUGCCCCUAUCCCGAGAUCCUAUAUAUGUAUAUAUGAACGUGUGUGCAUUAGGUUUUGAUUGGUUUUGGAAAUUUCAUUACUUUAUCACUUUUCCUAAGUUACAUUCCAGUGCUUAUGCCACUGGCCGUCCCUGGACGCU
rnacentral:lncRNA from 1 species